GGCAAAAAAGUUUAGAUCAAUGACACAAUACAUAGGUGAUCACUCAACUUUUUUAAUGACAUAUAUGAAAUUAUACACUUUUUAAUAGCGCGUCUACAUCAAGGAAGAGCCUAGAUACAUAUAGCACUUCUCUUACGUUUUGUAUAAUGUGGAAUGCGCACCACAAGACCACAGGCAGAACACUGUUGUUCAGUUUAUUAUUACAAAUUCUCAGAGGUUAGAUUACAAAUGUAGAGGAGCCUACUGGUCUUAGAAAGAAAAGUGCGACUCAUGAGAGGUGAGGCCCUAAAGGUACAAACGUUGGCAGCAGAGUUUGUAGGCCUUUGUUCCCUGAUCGUAUCGGUGUUGUGGCCUCCAGAAACUGCGAGGCCACAAAAACUUGUAAAUAGCUCUUGUAACUAUUAUUCUCUCCACUUAUCAAUGAAAGCCGGUAACGGAUCUUUCGAAAAAAAAAUUCUCAGAGGUUCAAGUGUAGUAAAAAAAGCAGUACAUAAGUCUUUGGUUUAUUAUAAAAGCCUUUGUUCACCAAUGCAAGCAUUCAUGGAUAGACCUCGAUGACCGAUAGAGCGCCAAGAACGGGUAGGAUUUUGUAGUCUUUGAAUCCAGCUUC
rnacentral:lncRNA from 1 species